rnacentral:rRNA from 1 species
UACGUAGGGUGCGAGCGUUAAUCGGAAUUACUGGGCGUAAAGCGUGCGCAGGCGGUUUCGUAAGACAGAUGUGAAAUCCCCGGGCUUAACCUGGGAACUGCAUUUGUGACUGCGAGACUAGAGUGUAGAAGAGGGGGGUAGAAUUCCACGUGUAGCAGUGAAAUGCGUAGAGAUGUGGAGGAAUACCGAUGGCGAAGGCAGCCCCCUGGGCUAACACUGACGCUCAUGCACGAAAGCGUGGGGAGCAAACAGG